rnacentral:rRNA from 1 species
UACGGAGGGUGCAAGCGUUAUCCGGAAUCACUGGGUUUAAAGGGUGCGUAGGAGGGCAGGUAAGUCAGUGGUGAAAUCUCCAAGCUUAACUUGGAAACUGCCGUUGAUACUAUCUGUCUUGAAUAUUGUGGAGGUGAGCGGAAUAUGUCAUGUAGCGGUGAAAUGCUUAGAUAUGACAUAGAACACCAAUUGCGAAGGCAGCUCACUACUCAAUCAUUGACUCUGAGGCACGAAAGCGUGGGGAUCAAACAGG